AUUGAACGCUGGCGGCAGGCCUAACACAUGCCAGUCGAGCGAGCGGCGGACGGGUGAGUAAUAUCUGGGAAACUGCCUGAUGGAGGGGGAUAACUACUGGAAACGGUAGCUAAUACCGCAUACCAUCAGAUGUGCCCAGAUGGGAUUAGCUAGUAGGUGGGGGAACGGCCCACCUAGGCGCCGAUCCCUAGCUGGUGUGAGAGGAUGACCAGCCACAUUGGGACUGGGACACGGCCCAUACUCCUACGGGAGGCAGCAGUGGGGAAUAUUGCGCAAUUGGGGCAAACCUGACGCAGCCACGCCGCGUGAAUGAAGAAGGCCUUCGGGUUGUAAAGUUCUUUCGGUAGCGAGGCGUUAACUACAGAAGAAGCACCGGCUAACGCCGUGCCAGCAGCCGCGGUAAUUC
rnacentral:rRNA from 1 species